GCUGGGUUCGCCUAGUGGCAGGGCGGCAGCCUGCUAAGCUGUUUGGCUAGAAAUGGCCUUCGCGAGUUCGAUUCUCGCACCCAGCG
rnacentral:tRNA from 1 species